GAUUGGUCCAGCAGUCUAUAACCUUAUAGUCAGGCCUUCAGACCUCACUGUAUAGCUCUAGAUUAGGUUGAACAGAGUUUUACAAGCAUAACAACCUCUUCAUGAAAAAUGGGUAGGCGGUGCAUAAGGACCACAGCUUAUCAAGUGACAGAGGAACGCAUGCCAUGUGUGUCUUUCCAGAGGAUGAAGGCUGCAGUCUAAAACAAACCUACCUCCAGCUUCCUGGUGAAUGAACAUACCUCCUCUGGAGACCUGAAGUCUUGGCCCUGCCUCUCCCUUCACUCUGCCUAACACCUGAAUUCAAGAGACAUGUGGAGACUUGUGCACUUGCCGCUCAAAACAGUUAACCCCAAAAGACAGAAAGGAGAUUUCCUCAGGAGUACUGCACCAGCUGGGCAAAACCCCACGCUAGCUCAUCCUAGCUGAUGAGAGUGAUGCCAGUGGAUGGCGGCUCUCAGGAUCUGCCAAGUAGGAAGCAGUGGAGCCGCAGCAGACUGCAGCAGUCUUUGGAGACAGACAUGCUAGACUCUGAUCAUCCAGAUGAGAUGGACUCAUGCUGGGGCUGUAGGAGCAAGACUGGACCAGUGCUGCCUGCACCCUGCUCCUCGCACUGCAGCGCUCGGCUGAGUAACAUAGGAUGGUGCUGGAGCUGCCAGGCAGGGGAGCUGUGACAUCACUGAAAUGUGCGACAGCAUCAGGACUGUGUCUCCAGGGGUAAAGGGUGAAGGGGCAAAAGGCCACACCCAUCUGUGGAGAAGCUCAGUAUGAGGCAGGUGGUGAAUAUGAUCAUGACCUCCCUAUAAGAUAAGAAGAUGGACCCCUCUUUUUAAAUGAAGCUAAGAUUUUUAAAGGUUAUGUAGUUUAUAAGUUCACAUGACUGGUUGCUGGUAGAGCUGAGAACAUGAUGUAGGCCCGACAAGUCAAUCCAUGAAAAGGGGAGUUCCCAAACUGCCCAUCUCCAGCCAGGCCACAUAUGUUGACUGGCACCUGUGACCUUUUUUUCUCUGUAUAAUUCCUAGAAUAAAAUGAGCUUAUAUUCAGUUGAAAUCAGGCACAGUUUGGGUGGUAUGGCUGUAGACUGGCUCACACUGUAGUGGAGACAAG
rnacentral:lncRNA from 1 species